CCGGCAUUUCCUCCCGGCUGUCUAGCUUCGGGGUUUCCUUGCGUUCUUUCUCUCAGGGUUCAGUCUUCCACCCUUGCCCUUUGUCCCACGGUCGCAGGGAACAGGUGCUGUGUUUAGGACCCAGUGGAUGACGAAACUCACCAGAGACCUCAUAGCUAAAGAAUGGCCAGCCUGUGUUUUGAAUCUAGGCAAUCUGGACCCCAUAGCCGUCCAGCCUAAAGGUGGGACCUCUGAGAGGUGAUUAGCUGUGAAGGCAGAGCCGUCCUGAAUGGGAUUAAUGCCCUUGUGAAAGAGACCCCAGGGAGCUCCCUCACCCCUUCCACCAUGGAGGACAGCACAAAGAUGGACAUCUGUGAACCAGGAAGUGGGCUCUCACCAGACACUGAAUCUGCCAGUGCCUUAAUCUUGGACUUCUCAGCCUCCAGAACUGUGAAGGAUAUAUAUUUCUCAAUUUUUGCUGUUUAUGAGCCACCCAGUUUAUGGUGUUCUGUUAUAGCAGCCCAAAUUGACUAAUACAUAUGUAAAAGUAAACAAACAAAUAGUUUAAAAAUCAGCUGUCCUGUUCCUUAACUUGCUCUAAUUGGCCCUACAAGAAGUAUGUGACAGUUCCCCCUAACAUCACAUCUGACACAUGUUGGAGUGGAGGGCUCGAUGACUCUUUAUGGAAUUUUGAUUUAUCUUAGUUUCUCUAUAAUAAAAGUAAAUAUCUUUUCUUAUUUUAGAGCAUUAUAAAGCUCACAAAUGUGUUCUUUUGAUGAGGAUUUUUAGGCUGCUUAAUUUUAAAAUGGUUUAUGAUGAGGAUUUUUAGGCUGGUUACUUUUAAAACUGCA